rnacentral:rRNA from 1 species
UACGUAGGGGGGAAGCGUUGUCCGGAUUUACUGGGCGUAAAGAGCGUGUAGGCGGCCAAGCAGGUCCGUUGUGAAAACUGGAGGCUUAACCUCCAGACGUCGACGGAAACCGCGUGGCUAGAGUCCGGAAGAGGAGAGUGGAAUUCCUGGUGUAGCGGUGAAAUGCGCAGAUAUCAGGAAGAACACCAAUGGCGAAGGCAGCUCUCUGGGACGGUACUGACGCUGAGACGCGAAAGCGUGGGGAGCGAACAGG